CUUUCGCGCGAUAAAUCCAAACGGAAAGGUUCCUGCGAUCAUUGAUACUGAUGGCCCGAAUGGAAGAGAGGCGCGAGUAUUCGAUUCCGGCGCAAUCCUGCUUUAUCUGGGGCAAAAGACCCAGCNNNNNNNNNNNCUGAUCGACCCGAAUUGCUGUCUUGGCUGUUCUUUAUAGCGACCGGCAUCGGCCCUUUUUCCGGUCAAGCUGUGCACUUCCAACACGCCGCACCGGAAA
rnacentral:misc_RNA from 1 species